AAAGGGUCCGUAGGCGGUUUUAUAAGUCAGUGGUGAAAUCUCCCCGCUCAACGGGGAAACGGCCAUUGAUACUGUAAGACUUGAAUGGUUGUGAAGUAACUAGAAUAUGUAGUGUAGCGGUGAAAUGCUUAGAGAUUACAUGGAAUACCAAUUGCGAAGGCAGGUUACUAACAAUUUAUUGACGCUGAUGGACGAAAGCGUGGGGAGCGAACAGGAUUAGAUACCCUAGU
rnacentral:rRNA from 1 species